GAAUUAUUGGGCGUAAAGAGCUCGUAGGCGGUGUGUCGCGUCGGCCGUGAAAACCUGCAGCUUAACUGUGGGCUUGCGGUCGAUACGGGCAUCACUGGAGUUCGGCAGGGGAGACUGGAAUUCCUGGUGUAGCGGUGAAAUGCGCAGAUAUCAGGAGGAACACCGGUGGCGAAGGCGGGUCUCUGGGCCGAUACUGACGCUGAGGAGCGAAAGCGUGGGGAGCGAACAGG
rnacentral:rRNA from 1 species